AGCUCAGCUGGCAGAGCAUCUGUCUUGUAAACAGGGGGUCGGAGGUUCGAAUCCUCNC
rnacentral:tRNA from 1 species